AAAUGAAUUGACGGGAGCCCGCACAAGCAGUGGAGUAUGUGGUUUAAUUCGACGCAACGCGAAGAACCUUACCAGGAAUUGACAUCCCGAGAAGACCGAGUAAUGUUGGUUGUGCCCUUCGGGGAACUCGGUGACAGGUGGUGCAUGGUUGUCGUCAGCUCGUGUCGUGAGAUGUUGGGUUAAGUCCCGCAACGAGCGCAACCCUUACCGUCAGUUACUACAUUAAGUUGAGGACUCUGGCGGGACUGCCGUUGACAAAACGGAGGAAGGUGGGGAUGACGUCAAAUCAUCAUGCCCCUUACGUUCUGGGCUACACACGUACUACAAUGGCGAGAACAAAGAGAAGCGAAGCCGCGAGGCAGAGCAAACCUCAUAAAAAUCGUCCCAGUUCAGACUGCAGGCUGCAACUCGCCUGCACGAAGUUGGAAUUGCUAGUAAUCGCGGAUCAGCAUGCCGCGGUGAAUACGUUCCCGGGCUUUGUACACACCGCCCGU
rnacentral:rRNA from 1 species